CGGACGGGUGAGUAACACGUGGAUAACCUACCUAUAAGACUGGGAUAACUUCGGGAAACCGGAGCUAAUACCGGAUAAUAUAUUGAACCGCAUGGUUCAAUGGUGUAAGACGGUUUUGCUGUCACUUAUAGAUGGAUCCGCGCCGCAUUAGCUAGUUGGUAAGGUAACGGCUUACCAAGGCAACGAUGCGUAGCCGACCUGAGAGGGUGAUCGGCCACACUGGAACUGAGACACGGUCCAGACUCCUACGGGAGGCAGCAGCC
rnacentral:rRNA from 1 species